rnacentral:rRNA from 1 species
GAUGAACGCUGGCGGCGUGCCUAAUACAUGCAAGUCGAGCGAACAGACGUGGAACUUGCUCCGCUGACGUUAGCGGCGGACGGGUGAGUAACACGUGGGUAACCUACCUAUAAGACUGGGACAACAUCGGGAAACGGGAGCUAAUACCGGAUAAUAUAUUGAACCGCAUGGUUCAAUAGUGAAAGACGGAUUUGCAUUCCUUAAUAGUUGUCUCCGCGCUGCAUUAUCUAGUUGUUAAGGUAACGGUGCACCAAGGGAACGUAUCUUACCCACCCUUAGAGGUUGACCGGCGACACUGGAAUUGGGCCACGGCCCAGACGCCUACGGAAGGCAGCGUUAGGGAACCUUCGGCAUUGGUCGAAAGCUGGACGAAGAAACGCAGCGUGGUGGAUGAGGGUCUUCGGAUGUUAAACCUUUAUUAUUAAGAAAGAACAAGUGGGUAAGUGACUGUGCACGUAUUGACGGUACCUAAUCAGAAAGCCACGGCUAACUACGUG